AACUCUCAACCCCCCUAUUUUGUAAUGAGAUGGGCGUGGGCUUGGAUUAUGGUUGUCUGUUGGCGUAAUUGCCGGCUCAACUGAAAUACACGAGCAACCCUACUGAAAUAAACGGUUUGACUUGGCGUAAUAAUUAUUUCGCUAAGGACGUUUUCUUCAAUUAUAAGAGGUGCUUCUAAUUCGCUUCUAAUAGCAUUUAAGCUU
rnacentral:misc_RNA from 1 species